GAGAACAAAGUGAGAGCAGUCUGACCCUGCUGCUGUUCAGCUGCCUUUUUUCCUUGGAGAAGAAAAGCUGCUCAUUUGCCCGUCAACUGGACCACAUUUUACUUCAGAGGGGCGGCUUCAACCAGACUCAUUCAUUUCAGGAGUAAACCAACUGAUUCAAAGCCUGUGCACUUUACACCAACAUCUUGCCAUGCAUCGGCACACUGGGCCACAUGCCUUCUCACCCCUCCUCGACCGAUCCUUGACCAUCCCGCCCGGUCCAAUGGCAACUCGGGCCACCAACGUCGACAGAGCAGCAACGAGGCCCUCCUUCGCUCCCGCCACGGCCUUUCACAAAGCAACACAGAAGCCCUUCAGG